CCAAUAGCGUAUAUUAAAGUUGUUGCAGUUAAAAAGCUCGUAGUUGAAUUUCGGGAUCAAAGGAUCGGUCAUGCCUUGGUAUGUACUGGUUUUAUUGGUUCUCACCUUCUAAAGAACCGUAAUGCCAUUAAUUUGGUGUUACGGGGAAUUAGGACUGUUACCUUGAAAAAAUUAGAGUGUUUAAAGCAGGCUCACGCUUGAAUACAUUAGCAUGGAAUAAUGAAAUAGGACAUCCGAUUCUAUUUUGUUGGUUUCUAGGAUCGACGUAAUGAUUAAUAG
rnacentral:rRNA from 1 species